GAGUGGCCUGCCCUCCUGUCCUGUCCCAUGUAAAUGAGACAAAUCUUAGCAACUGUUCCUGGCUGGACGAUUCUUUCACUAUAUAGAGCUUUGUGCGUGAUAGAAUAGAAGUCAGUAUUCUGAGCCUGAUUAAUGAAACUGAGACCCUUUUUUCAGGUUUAUAGUUAAAGCCCUGCAUUUAAUGCCCACGCCGGAUGCUUCCUGUCUCUUCCUGUUUGGUUCAAUCUUGAGCCCUCAGACCGGUUUUCAGCCGUUCUCUCUGUUUCCUGUUAUUUCUGUCCUCUGUCAAUGUCUUGUGUACUAAGUUUGGCUGGAACUAUUGUGUUUCCAAAAAAAAAAAACAAAACAAAACAAAUCAAAACAGUAAUACUAACUUUGGAUCUGGUAUGGCCAGAAACUAUUUUUCUCAUUGAGCAGUUUGUUUGUUGUUCAGCAUCUAUUCACGCUCACCUCUAUGACAUUAUCUCAAGUAACUAGAAAUAUACAAAGCACACUGCAUGCAGUCACUGAGAUUGGCAUCUCCUGGGCAGGUGGUAAUAAACAGGCCUAUAGCAGAAACAGAACAAAGCAGAAAAAGAAGUUUUCUGUCACCAGAUGUUUGCUAACUGUUCGUGCCAACGUUGUGGAGAGGUGUCUAAGAAGUGCGCCCUGCAGAAGGCUAGGCUAUGACAUGAAUGGAUUGAUUCGUUUGUUUGCUUGAUGCUAUUUAUCAGCUGCCCUGUGUUCGCCGUGUCGCCGGCUUUAUGCUAAGCUCUCUCUCUAUGCUCUCCCUUCAGCAGUGUAGGAAGCAGGCCUCACUGAUGUCCUAGACAUAGAACUGCCAGAUACAGUGCUAAGUCUCCCUCUUUAGCUGGGGGGCCCAUCUCACCACAGAACCACGGGCCAACAGGAUGUUUCAUCCUGUGCCCUUGGUCCAUGCAUGUCACAUAUGUAGCUGUGAGGUCUUGGGUCAUGUGCAGUGGAUCUGUGCUGAUGAAGAAGGGAGCUAGCAAGACCCAUGUAAGAAGCGACUCCACUGGCGUAUGUGUGCACGCAUGUCUGUGCAAGCACUAAUGCUGGAUGUUGAGCUCUUGGUUGUCUGUGGUUCUCAGUCACUGCUGCCUCACUGGGCCCCUUUACACUUAAGGAUACCUUAGGGUCAUCAAGGUAGAGAUUUGGGUCUUGACUCCUCACUGUGGAGUUGCAAGCCUCCAAGAGUCCGUGGUACACAGUGGCGUCACAGUGAACACUUGUUAAACAGAGUGAGACCGUGCCUAAGAUGUCACAGGGUGCUUUUGUUUAUUUUGCAUAUAUUUUUCUUUUUCAGCUCAGAUUUCAGAGUAAGUCCCUGGGAGAGACUGAGGUCAUGUGAGAUGGGAAACAAAAUAGUGCCUGCCGAGGUUCCCGGGUGGGAGUCACCUAAAAGUCUUUAAAACAGUUUACACUUUAGCAAGAAUUACUUUCUCCAUUGAGUUUUAGAGACAGGAGUCUCCCUGGCUGACUUGGACCCCCUGUGCUUCACAUAUGGCCCAGUCAUUCAAGGGAGGAGCAGGAGCUGGCAGGCUCCACAGAUCUCUGUGCCACUGGCUGCCAGGACUCCUCCUGGGAGAUCCUGUGGCCCCUGUGGGGGCAGGGACAGGUGGUGUGCCCUGAUGUCACGUUGGUGAGGUUGCUCCUCAGGCUUCUCAUUGAGUUUUCUGCUCCUUGUCUAUAAAGCAGAGCCACUGACUGUGACCUCCCAGGAUGCUUGUGAAUGUGAAAUAGAAGCCAGGCGUGGUGCACAUUUGAGAACCCACCGCUUAGGAGGCAGAGACAGGAGGAUCAGGAGUUCAAGGUCACAUUCAGCUGCAGAGUGAGUUAGAGGCCAGCCUGGAUUAUGGGAAACUCUGGAAAGUAACAACAAAACAAACAAAAGAAACAGGAUAAUUUGCACCCUUUGCUUACUGAGGUACCUAGCAUUGAAAAUUGCUUGCUCUCAGCCCAUUGUUAAAUCAUCCAGGCAUGGACUUUUCCUCAUAUAAAUAUCAAGAGCAUGCCCAGUGACCACUUACAUGGAUACUAAUUAAAAGACAGAGUACAUGUAACCAACAGUGUCGGCUUUGAGCCUGGCUAUCCUGGCAGUACAUUUGGGACCUCUUAAUGGACUAGAAACAUGAUCUCCGACAGCCAUGGUAAUGAUGGCAUUAGUAAUCACCAGCUAAUGAUAUAUCAUCAAUCAAUAGUGGCCUCAGGCUGGGCUGUAUAGAAGGAUUACCCCAGGUGCCUUCUUUACAUUCUUAUUAGUCGUCAGAUUAACCAUCACGACAAAGUACUGUUGCAGAUGGAGGAACUGAGAACAGGGAGAAUCAGUUAAAGCCAGGCAUGGUGGUGCAUGCUUGCAGCCCUGGCACUCAGGAAGUAAAGACAGGAAGAGUUCAAAGCCAGUCCUAGCUACAUAGUGACAUCACCAGCCUGGGUUUCAAGAGAUUCUGUCUCAGGUGAAGGUAGGGACUGUACUUCACCAGUAAAGAGAUAGAAUCAAAAUUCAAGCUCUUUUCCCACCAUGCAGCACUGUAACCACGUGCACAGUCUCAUACAUGACUUUCAACUGAACCAAGCAGCCCGUUCUCACUUGUUGAAGGAACUCUGGCUCAGUGUUUCAUGGUUUUGGAUGAUAUUUUUCCUUUCUUGUGUGUAUUCUAAAGUGAAGGACCUAUUUCUGUGCCUUGUUAUUGUGCAUCUAUCUAAAUCUGUAAUGAAAAGUGAGGCCAUGAUAACAGACAGAAGCUGUCCAUCACAAUCCCAUUGUUCUCGCUGCCUCCACGUUCUGGAAGGUUCUGGGAGCAUCUCUGAAUUCUUAGCAUGUGUGGCAUGCCAUCCUGAGACAUGGGAUGGUUAUCACACACACAACC
rnacentral:lncRNA from 1 species